CCUACGGGUGGCUGCAGUGGGGAAUAUUGCACGAUGGGCGCAAGCCUGAUGCAGCCAUGCCGCGUGUGUGAAGAAGGCCUUCGGGUUGUAAAGCACUUUCAGCGGGGAGGAAGGCGGUGAGGUUAAUAACCUCAUCGAUUGACGUUACCCGCAGAAGAAGCACCGGCUAACUCCGUGCCAGCAGCCGCGGUAAUACGGAGGGUGCAAGCGUUAAUCGGAAUUACUGGGCGUAAAGCGCACGCAGGCGGUCUGUCAAGUCGGAUGUGAAAUCCCCGGGCUCAACCUGGGAACUGCAUUCGAAACUGGCAGGCUAGAGUCUUGUAGAGGGGGGUAGAAUUCCAGGUGUAGCGGUGAAAUGCGUAGAGAUCUGGAGGAAUACCGGUGGCGAAGGCGGCCCCCUGGACAAAGACUGACGCUCAGGUGCGAAAGCGUGGGGAGCAAACAGGAUUAGAUACCCCGGUAGUC
rnacentral:rRNA from 1 species